rnacentral:rRNA from 1 species
UGCCAGCAGCCGCGGUAAUACGAAGGGUGCUAGCGUUGUUCGGAAUUACUGGGCGUAAAGAGCAUGUAGGCGGAUGAAUUAGUCAGAGGUGAAAGCCCCGAGCUCAACUUGGGAACUGCCUUUGAUACUGUUUAUCUAGAGUCCGAGAGAGGUUAGUGGAAUUCCCAGUGUAGAGGUGAAAUGCGUAGAUAUGUGGAGGAAUACCGGUGGCGAAGGCGGCCUCCUGGCUCGACACUGACGCUGAGGUGCGAAAGCUAGGGUAGCGAACGGGAUUAGAUA